AGUGAACGCUGGCGGUAGGCCUAACACAUGCAAGUCGAACGGCAGCACCGUAAGAGCUUGCUCUUACGGGUGGCGAGUGGCGGACGGGUGAGGAAUACAUCGGAAUCUACUUUUUCGUGGGGGAUCACGUAGGGAAACUUACGCUAAUACCGCAUACGACCUACGGGUGAAGGCAGGGGAUCUUCGGACCUUGCGCGAUUGAAUGAGCCGAUGUCGGAUUAGCUAGUUGGCGGGGUAAAGGCCCACCAAGGCGACGAUCCGUAGCUGGUCUGAGAGGAUGAUCAGGCACACUGGAACUGACACACGGCACAGACUCCUAGGGAAGGCAGCAGUGGGGAAUAUUGGCCAAUGGGCGCAAGCCUGAUCCAGCCAUGCCGCGUGGGUGAAGAAGGCCUUCGGGUUGUAAAGCCCUUUUGUUGGGAAAGAAAAGCAGCAGGUUAAUACAACGCUGUGCUGACGGUACCCAAAGAAUAAGCACCGGCUAACUUCGU
rnacentral:rRNA from 1 species